CCCAUGUGCAGUAGAGUUUUCUUUUAGCCUA
rnacentral:piRNA from 1 species